rnacentral:rRNA from 1 species
UUCGCAAUGCCCGAAAGGGUGACGAAGCGACGCCGCGUGCGGGAAGAAGGCCUUCGGGUUGUAAACCGCUGUCGGGAGUUAGGAAAUGCAAGGAUGUUAAUAGCGUCUUUGCUUGACUAAGGCUCCGGAGGAAGCCACGGCUAACUCUGUGCCAGCAGCCGCGGUAAUACAGAGGCGGCAAGCGUUGUUCGGAAUUAUUGGGCGUAAAGAGCACGUAGGCGGCUAUGUAAGUCGGUUGUGAAAGCCUUCCGCUCAACGGAAGAACAGCAUCCGAUACUACAUGGCUUGAGUGUGGGAGGGGAGAGUGGAACUUCUGGUGGAGCGGUGAAAUGCGUAGAUAUCAGAAGGAACGCCGGCGGCGAAAGCGACUCUCUGGCCCGUAACUGACGCUGAGUGUGCGAAAGCUAGGGGAGCAAACGGGAUUAGACACCCCGGUAGUCCUAGCCGUAAACGAUGGGCACUAAGUAGAGGGGUUUU